rnacentral:lncRNA from 1 species
CUCUGAACAUCAGUUUCUUCACUCCCAAAUGGCGGUAAUCCUGCCCAGCUCAUCCUUCUCCUGGAGUUGCCCAGGAGAUUGAAUGGAAUGAGACCUUGUCCAUUUCUUCUUGGCCCAUUAUCGGCCCUCAACUAAGGUUGAGGGCAACCCUCUGCCCCAGACAUCCCUGGGAACUCCUGUCAAACACAUGCACCCUUCACCACUGGCACCUACUCCAAGCCACCAGGCCUUAAAACAGCAGCAAACUAGGAACCCUUGGGAUGAGCAAGAGCGCCGGACUUAAUUUAUAGCCUUUCCUGUGUCCACACAGGAAGACAAAUGUGCUGGGCAGAGGACAGCAGAUGCCAUUACCAGAUCAUUACUUAGCAAGUUGCUUGGUCUUGGCAGGAAAUGGUUCAUCAUUUUCAGAUGAGUAGAGAGCUGCAGAACCUUGUAACUGUCCUCCCUCAUUCUGCACCCCUGUCGCAGACGCAAUGGUCCUUGCCAAAGCUUUCCCUCCCACGGUGCCUUAUCGAGAUAAGUGACUGGGGAUGUGGGAUGCCACAUGAUCCACUGAAUGCAAGAGCCCUGAACUCAGAAGGGGGCUGGGGUCAAAGGCUUCCAGGGCUGGAGAGUGAGGCCGGAAACCCCAAAAGAUAAAUGAGGACUUCUGGAACAAGAUGAGAAGAUGAAUUAAACUGUUUACUUCGAGCAUGCACAUAAUGUUCCAGAAAAAUCCACUUUGGCUGCCAAAGUAGCCCUUCUGGAAUUUAUGAAGACCCUUGCCAGGGCCCUCACACUGGGGCUUAGUGCUCAGGUCUUGCAUCUGUCUUUUUUUUUUUUUUUUUUGAGACGGAGUUUCGCUCUUAUCACCCAGGCUGGAGUGCAAUGGCGUGAUCUCAGCUCACUGCAACCUCUGCCUCCCAGGUUCAAGCAAUUCUCUUGCCUCAGCCUCCCGAAUAGCUGGGACUACAGGUACCUGCCACCAUGUCCUGCUAAUUUUUGUAUUUUCAGUAGAGACAGGGUCACCAUGUUGACCAGACUAGUCUUGAACUCCUGACUUCAGGUGAUCCCGCUGCCUCGGCUUCCCAAAAUGUUAGGAUUACAGGUGUGAGCCACUGCCCCCGGCCGCAUGUGCUGUUUUACAGCAAUCCAGUGGGGCAAGGUCACCAAGCUCACAAAGGAAGAACCUGAGGCUCAGGAAGCAAAAGUUAUUGCCCAAAUUAAACAUAGUAAGAAGCUGAUUUGAUUCCAAACCAAUAUCUGUUUAAUUUCAAAGCUCAGGCUGGCUCUAUUUCACCAUCCUGUGUCCCUCAGCAGGGUGACAGGUCACCAUGAACAGGACAGCCACUGGCCAGCAGUGUCUCAAUCACUGAUUGUCCACUGUGCUUAAGCACCCACAGGGCUCUUGGUGCUGAAUAGAUGGUGGAUUUUUGGCUUUUUUGUCUGUCCCAAAUCUUUAGAAGCCUGUUGUCUGUGGUGACAGUGAUUUCAGAUUGGCUAAGUUUGACAAGCAAUGAGCAACAAUACAUCUGUUGUUAGAGGUGUUGGUUAUUCCACGUGCCAGGAAGACAGAGAGAACGUCUCAACCAAAUUGUCAAGGCAAGAGUCUUUCAGGAAAAGGAUAUGGCUAAGAAUUCUAAAAGGGGUGGGGGUUGGUUUAACAAGAAGGAGCAGGGAAAGGUGUCUACCUUGAAUCUCCAAUCUGAAAGGUUGGUAUAGGCAUAAGAUGUCAAGAAAAUUAGCAGAAAACAUCGUGUUGAGCCCUCAAGAUUUGCUUGGAGCGGAGGAGACCACACUCCUGCAGCUGGGUGGUCAGAAACUCAGUCAUUUGCCCUGCAGAAUUUUCUACACUGUGGAUUUGCCUGACUACACCCUGUGGUGCUGUUCCUCUAUCUUGUUCUGGGAUUUCAAUGGAUUGAAUGAGACCCAGCCACGCCGGAGAGGGCAAUCUGCGUUACUCACUUUACCAACUUGGAUGUGAAUCUCACGGAGAGGCUCCCCCACAGACAUACCCAGAAUACUAUUUGACCAAAUGUCUGGAUAUCCUGUGGCUCAGUCAAGUUGUUACAUAAAAUUAACCAUCCCUACUGGUAUGCACAGAAACAUUAGUUGGAGCACGGCAGUUUGUGUUCAUUCACAGCACCCUGGGUACAUAAAUAAAUCCACAGCCAAGCAAAGGAUUGCGCCGAGGCUGUAGCAAAGCAAGCAGGAGGGCGCGGCCCAGGAGAUGUGAGCUCCCAUACUGCUCGCAGCACUGGGACCCAGCAUCCCCCUCAGCAAUAGCCCAGAAUACACAGGGCAUCAAGAGCCCUGCCCUGCAAAGGGAGGGCAAACCUCCCAUUCCUGGUGCUUUAAGUGGACCCAAUCCCUGGCUGGAACUUGAAGGCAGGCCACAGAAACAGACUAUUUCCGCCCUUUACUACUCGUACUUGUCUCAGCCCAUCUGCUCACACCUUAUCCUUCGGGUUCCUAACCCCACUAUCUGUACCCAGGUCUUAUAUUAGCAUUUUCCCCCUGGCCACUCAACUUAAUGCAUGUUUAGAUUCACUUUUGGGGCUUCAUGAAGUUCCGACUUUCUUUGGGCACUGGACACUGCAUCGUGGAAUCCCUACAUUCUUUGCAAAAACUUCCUUACUCCAACCCACGUCGCAAGGACCUCCCACUCAUGACUAUGCAGAGUUGGGGAUUUGGCCUAACCCAGCAGGCUGGCUUCUCCUGCAGAUGCGCCAGGCAUCCCGUCACAUAAUCAGCAUGCCUGCUUCUGGAGAGGGACCACUCAUUGUGUUGGGCUCCCUUGCGAGCUCAGCACUGAGAUGGUCCUAGGAGUUUCUAUCCCCACAUUGCACCUGGAAAUCUCAUGGUCCUUGACAGCCACAGGUUUCCAGUGGCAGCUCAUGAGGCCUCCAGAUAGGUGGCAGGGACCGAAAUACUUCACAGCUUUUCCACGGACAAAGAUCAGCAAUUUGUUUUUAAAAUAAAAAGUCAAUGUUAAAGUGAAGUUGGCAUCAGGUAAUUGAGAUGCUAUCAGGAUCCUGAGUGGGGACUGAACACAUGCAACCACACAGUGUAGUAUUUUUAGGCAAUUGCUCACUCAUUUGAGAAAACACAGUGGGUAAAACUGUUUCCCUUGUGGUGACUGUUGGACUUCCUGCAUUUUCAGAGGUUUUCUGUAUUUUCAUAGGAGUCCCAUUUCCUUUUAAGAACCAGAUUGCCAAUGCCCCAUUAGUUAGCUUUCCACUCCAACAGGCCGCUUGCUCUUUUGCCUUUCCCUCCCCUUCUCUUUUAAACCAAUUAAUUAAAAAGCUUUACAAAAACAAUACAUGCUAACGUGAAAAAUUAAAGCAGUAUAGAAAACUACAACACAAAAAGGAAAAGCUCCUCUGCCCUCAGCUCCUACACUCCUCAGAGGUGGCCAUCAUGAACAUUGGCUUCUUUCUAGAACUUUUCCUGCAUAGACAAUCAGAGAAACAUAGAUUGAUAGACUGAUUUAUGCAAAGAUGGCUGAAUAAUGAUGUUUAAUGCUCUGUUACUUGCUUUUUCCUACUUAAUUUAUGCUAGACAUGAUUUCACAGCAGUUGUCAAGGAGGUCUAUCACCCUUUUCAACAUUUGCAUUUUUUCAAUUAUAAAUAAAAAAUUAAUUAAUUAAGAAACACUUGCAUUUGGUUCUACUGUAGAAGUGUACCAUCAUUUGUUUAACCAAUAUUCCACAGAUUGACUUGUAGAUUACUUCAGAGGUCUUAAUAUUAAAUGUUCCAGUAAAUAUCCUCAGGCAUGUGUUUUUGAAGAACAGGGCUAGUGUAUCAACAGGAGAUUGUUUUAUAGGUCUUUAUAAAAUUAAACUGUUUUCACUGGUAUAAAAAUUUAAUAAUUGUCAAAUAAAA